rnacentral:rRNA from 1 species
AGGAAAGUUGAAAAGAACUUUGAAGAGAGAGUUCAAAAGGGCGUGAAACCGCUUAGAAGAAAACGGACGGAGCCGUCAGGGGCUUUCGGGAAUCAGUUGUUCGACUCGCGAAUGGGCGCUAGUUGGAACGCAAGUCUGACUAGUGUUCUAGAGUAGUGAUCGGAUGACGCAUUUCUCGAGAGUAAGCACUGCGACCGAUACUAACGGCCAAUGAAGCGGUGGGAUUGAGGUCGAGACCCGUCAGGGUUUCGUUACCAGUCCUAUCGCCUCGAAUCAUUGGACCUAAACUCUGUAUCGAUAGCCAAAGAAAAUAUAUGCCGGCGUAAAAUGCUCGUUGAGCGAUGGAUAAUCGGCCUAUUCCGUUGGCACCUGCUCGCAGAUGUCGGCGAAUAUGGUCGACUUAGAAGUCGCCGGCGACGAUCAGGCAUAUCGGCGUCCGCAGUGUCAGUGCCGGCCACCCAUCCGACCCGUCUUGAAACACGGACCAAGGAGUCUAACAUAUGUGCGAGCUAAUGGGUGGAAAACCCAGAAGCGUAAUAAAAGUAAAUGCUGUUUCGGACAGCUAAGAUACGAUCCUAGAGCGUCCGCUCUAGGCGCAGUAUCGUCCCGUCCUGACCGCAUGUCGGUAGGGCGGAGAAAGAGUGCAUACGUUGGGACCCGAAAGAUGGUGAACUAUGCCUGAGCAGAGCGAAGCCAGAGGAAACUCUGGUGGAGGUUCGUAGCGGUUCUGACGUGCAAAUCGAUCGUCAGACUUGGGUAUAGGGGCGAAAGACUAAUCGAACCAUCU